AGUGAACGCUGGCGGUAGGCCUAACACAUGCAAGUCGAACGGCAGCACAGUAAGAGCUUGCUCUUACGGGUGGCGAGUGGCGGACGGGUGAGGAAUACAUCGUACUCUACUUUUUCGUGGGGGAUAACGUAGGGAAACUUACGCUAAUACCGCAUACGACCUACGGGUGAAAGCAGGGGAUCUUCGCACCUUGCGCGAUUGAAUGAGCCGAUGUCGGAGUAGCUAGUUGGCGGGGUAAAGGCCCACCAAGGCGACGAUCCGUAGCUGGUCUGAGAGGAUGAUCGGCCACACUGGAACUGAGACACGGUCCAGACUCCUAAGAGAGGCAGCAGUGGGGAAUAUUGGACAAUAGGCGGAAGCCUGAUCCAGCCAUACCGCGUGGGUGAAGAAGGCCUUCGGGUUGUAAAGACCUUUUGUUGGGAAAGAAAAGCAGCAGGUUAAUACCCCGCUGUUCUGACGGUACCCAAAGAAUAAGCACCGGCUAACUACGUG
rnacentral:rRNA from 1 species